AAUUCAUAAUGUGAGCAUAAUCUAAGCAUAUUUUUGAAUCUAUCUCAUGCUUCAUAAAGAGAUUCACUGUCAUUCCGCUUGAAGUUAGCAAUCUGAUUUCACAUGUAUGU